rnacentral:rRNA from 1 species
CCUACGGGGGACAGCAGUGAGGAAUAUUGGUCAAUGGACGAGAGUCUGAACCAGCCAAGUAGCGUGAAGGAUGACUGCCCUAUGGGUUGUAAACUUCUUUUAUAUGGGAAUAAAACCGGGUAUGCAUACCCGCUUGUGUGUACCAUAUGAAUAAGGAUCGGCUAACUCCGUGCCAGCAGCCGCGGUAAUACGGAGGAUCCGAGCGUUAUCCGGAUUUAUUGGGUUUAAAGGGUGCGUAGGUGGAGUGUUAAGUCAGUGGUUAAAGUUUGCGGCUCAACCGUAGAAUUGCAGUUGAAACUGGCUGUCUUGAGUACAGUAGAGGUGGGCGGAAUGCGUGGUGUAGCGGUGAAAUGCUUAGAUAUCGCGAAGAACUCCGAUUGCGAAGGCAGCUCACUGGACUGCAACUGACACUGAGGCACGAAAGUGUGGGUAUCAAACAGGAUUAGAUACCCGUGUAGUC